GUUAAGCGACUAAGCGUACACGGUGGAUGCCCUGGCAGUCAGAGGCGAUGAAGGGCGUACUAAUCUGCGAUAAGCGCCGGUAAGGUGAUAUGAACCGUUAUAACCGGCGAUACCCGAAUGGGGAAACCCAGUGUGAUUCGUCACACUAUCAUUAACUGAAUCCAUAGGUUAAUGAGGCGAACCGGGGGAACUGAAACAUCUAAGUACCCCGAGGAAAAGAAAUCAACCGAGAUUCCCCCAGUAGCGGCGAGCGAACGGGGAGGAGCCCAGAGCCUGAAUCAGCAUGUGUGUUAGUGGAAGCGUCUGGAAAGGCGCGCGAUACAGGGUGACAGCCCCGUACACAAAAGCGCAUGUGCUGUGAGCUCGAUGAGUAGGGCGGGACACGUGGUAUCCUGUCUGAAUAUGGGGGGACCAUCCUCCAAGGCUAAAUACUCCUGACUGACCGAUAGUGAACCAGUACCGUGAGGGAAAGGCGAAAAGAACCCCGGCGAGGGGAGUGAAAAAGAACCUGAAACCGUGUACGUACAAGCAGUGGGAGCACAGGUUUACCUGUGUGAC
rnacentral:rRNA from 1 species